CAAGAAAAUUUACUUUAAUUUGUCAAUAAACAAAUUAAUCCCAUUGCAUUUUCCUAAAACACAUUUGUGUUUCUUCUUGUACCACAAAACCAGUAACUUGUACAGAGGAAUUUGCAUAAGAGGAAGUUCCCUUUUGUGACAAAUUCACCAGGCAAAAAUCUGCUUCUUCCAGGCACUGACCAGGAACUGAGGGCCUGAACUUUGCUGCUCCCCAGCUCUUACAGAGACGUGGCAGUGUUUGCUGUGGGUACCAGGCCUGAAAUAUCAGCAGUGAUAUUGUGUGAGGAAAGGAAUAUGUUCAAAACCUUGACUCGUCAUUCAUCAGUGGAGCUGAUAUCAACAGGCAAGGAAACAUGUAAAUAUGCUUUUAUUUUGGGGUUUGUGUGGAAGAGAAAGAAAAUUAAAAAGGCUAUUUCAAGUGCUACCUGUAUUAAAGGAAUGUGAAAAAUAUUUUCUAAUGAACUACAUUCCUUUCUUGUAUUUAAUUAUUUUUCUCUUUCUCUUCCCAGAAACUUUUCAAUAUAUAUCAAAUGAUAGUGGAGACAGAAGCAAGGAAUAGAAACUGCUCAACAUCAUUAUCUUCCUACUGAAUCUAGCAGCUUUGCAAACAAACACUCACCCAAAACGGAAUCUGGCUGAUAAGAGCUCUUAACUGGAAAGGGAUGAGAUGGAGGUUAAUGCAGAAGAGAAUACACCUAGAGUAUGACAAAAUAUUAGCAAGUUUCUUCUAAGCUGCAGUGCAGAGUUUGCAAAACUUGACUGACAGCUCAGUGUGAUGAAUGGGAGCAAUUCCCUUAUAUUUACUUCUGAAGAAAAGGCUUGGCAUAUUCCUGUUUCAACAAAAUGAAGAAUCCCAAGUCCUCUGGAAAAUUCUGCUGAACUAUGAUUGCCAUUUAAAGAUACCAACAAACAUUUUAUGUAAGUAGAACAGGAUCACUGAGCUUCUGGCAGCUUCUGUUGCACUGCAGGAGCUGCCUCAUGGCCACUUCACAGCAGACGUAGCAAAUCCACCUGUCCCAUGACCUUAGGUACAGGUUUAUCAGAUUAGGCAGGUGGAAAAGUGUCUAAACUGCCUCAUCAGAAUGGCUGACCACUGCCUACACUGCAGUGUUUUCAGCAGCACAUAGAAAGAAUCAAAACAUCACAUUAUCCUAAAACUUCAAGCUGACUAAAACCUAAGAUUCAUUUUCAUUCAUUUAAUACAAACUGUGUUUGGAUUCCUAGCUGGCUUUGGGCAUUUCCAGCUUCUCCUUUUGCUUUUUGCUCUUCUCAUAGUUUGGAUCAUAAAAAUCAACUAACAUUGCUUUAUUUUCAGCUUGUAUUGAAAGUCUGCAGGGGAGGCUUUAGCUUUGUAUAACUUUAUAACUGUAUACAUGUUAUUGAAGACUUUCUCUAAGUUCUGCUUUUAGAUAUUUUACAUAUAUAAUUUAUAUAUACACAUACAAUUUUUUUUUUUCUGUCCAUGAAGCAUAAUGCUAUACCACCACAAAUCAGUCAUAAAAGCAGACUCAAAAUCCUUUGGCAGGUCUCAACUUUACCAGCAGUGUUCCAGUUGUGGCAGAAAUGUACA